CUCAGGAGGAGGGGCUGCGUCUGUGGGCGGAGCCCCACGAUGGGCAGUGCCGGCCUAAGUUCCCGGCUCCGCCUCCGGAGGGAGGCUGCGGAAGGGCCGACCGGAAGUGCUUCCGCCUCCGCCCGCCUCCGGGUUCCCUGUCGCGUCUCCGUCGGCCCGGCGUGCGAGGUCAUGCCCCGGAAGUAGAGGGGCCAUGUUGACGGGUGACCCCGAGAGUGGUACUGGGCGAGUGGCGAGUCCUGAGGAAAGGUAGCGCGUGGCCCGCGGCCCUCCGUUGGUUUUCUGCAUCUUUUGCAUCACGGAAGACGCUCAGGGCCAAAAGGGAGCUGCUC